rnacentral:rRNA from 1 species
AACGCUGGCGGCGUGCCUAACACAUGCAAGUCGAACGCGAGAGGGGCUUCGGCCCCAAUUGAGUGGCAAACGGGUGAGUAACGCGUGGGUGACCUACCUUCGAGUGGGGGAUAACGUCUCGAAAGGGACGCUAAUACCGCAUGACAUCCUGCCUUUGGACAGGCGGAGAUCAAAGCCGGGGAUCGCAAGACCUGGCGCUUGGAGAGGGGCCCGCGUCCGAUUAGCUAGUUGGUGGGGUAAUGGCUCACCAAGGCUUCGAUCGGUAGCCGGCCUGAGAGGGCGGACGGCCACACUGGGACUGAGACACGGCCCAGACUCCUACGGGAGGCAGCAGUGGGGAAUUGUUCGCAAUGGGCGCAAGCCUGACGACGCAACGCCGCGUGGAGGAUGAAGGUCUUCGGAUUGUAAACUCCUGUUGAUCGGGACGAACAUCCAUCGGGAUAACACCCCGGAGGACUGACGGUACCGGUUGAGGAA